AGACGCCGAGCAGCUGCUGAAGCGCUGACGCUGGUUUCAGCCCACAGAGCUGUGAGUCAGCCGGACGGACGGACGGCGAGGCUUCGGCGAGCACCUUUGAACCGAGCGAUGUGACGCUUCAUUAACUCUCAGCUUUACGAGGCUGCGUGUGAGACAACAUCUCCGUUGUUCUGCAGCUCACAGCGAUGACAAGCCGGCACAUCGACCACAACAAGUGUUUUUAUAAGCGCACAGCAAAUCCUGCAAACAAUGGAGACGUCCUCCGGCAGGAAACAGAUGGCCUACAUGAGCGGCUCGCCUCCAGCGUCCAGCGUCCAUCGUCCACGGCUUGUGGACGCUUGGAAGGAGCGCCGCAGUUACGUUGUUGCAUCGUCGCUGUCGUCGAUGCACGUUGGCAGCGAUGAGCUUCCUGUUGAUGUGGAAACUGCAGCAAAGUCUUUUAAAGAGAGGCUACGAACUGUUUGACUGUUAGCAUUGAAGCUAAAGCUAAAUGUACAUGAAAGCAGCAAAGCGAAGCUGCACGAUGGAUCAAAGCUCACAGAGAGUUAAGUUAAACCUGCAACACUUUGGGUUUGUUGGCCACAUUUCACCAGUUAAGUAAUUAAACCUGUUGUAAUGCUAUUUGUUGAAAUAAUGUUUUUUUUUCUUGAUAUACAAACAUUAUCGCUAUGAAAAGGGGACAAAAUAGUAAUACAAUUAAAAGUAUCUGAACAUAGAA